UUUACCCGCUGGAACUUAAGCAUAUCAAUAAGCGGAGGAAAAGAAACCAACCGGGAUUGCCUCAGUAACGGCGAGUGAAGCGGCAAGAGCUCAAAUUUGAAAGCUGGCUCCUUCGGAGUCCGCAUUGUAAUUUGCAGAGGAUGCUUUGGGUGCGGCCCCCGUCUAAGUGCCCUGGAACGGGCCGUCAGAGAGGGUGAGAAUCCCGUCUUGGGCGGGGUGUCCGUGCCCGUGUAAAGCUCCUUCGACGAGUCGAGUUGUUUGGGAAUGCAGCUCUAAAUGGGUGGUAAAUUUCAUCUAAAGCUAAAUACUGGCCGGAGACCGAUAGCGCACAAGUAGAGUGAUCGAAAGAUGAAAAGCACUUUGAAAAGAGAGUUAAACAGCACGUGAAAUUGUUGAAAGGGAAGCGCUUGCGACCAGACUCGCCCGCGGGGUUCAGCCGGCAUUCGUGCCGGUGUACUUCCCCGUGGGCGGGCCAGCGUCGGUUUGGGCGGCCGGUCAAAGGCCCCUGGAAUGUAGUACCCUCCGGGGUACCUUAUAGCCAGGGGUGCAAUGCGGCCAGCCUGGACCGAGGAACGCGCUUCGGCACGGACGCUGCAUAAUGCC
rnacentral:rRNA from 1 species